GCACUGAUUGGACUAGGGGCCCUCAUCGGGUUACCGAAUUCAGUCAAACUCCGAAUGCCAAUCAAUCUACUUUGGGAGUCAGACCAUGGGUGAUAAGGUUCAUGGUCGAAAGGGAAACAGCCCAGACCGCCAGCUAAGGUCCCAAAGUGUGUGUUAAGUGGAAAAGGAUGUGGCGUUGCUUAGACAACCAGGAUGUUGGCUUAGAAGCAGCCAUCAUUGAAAGAGUGCGUAAUAGCUCACUGGUCGAGUGACGCUGCGCCGAAAAUAUACCGGGGCUAAACACACCACCGAAGCUGCGGAUUGACAUCUACGAUGUCAGUGGUAGGAGAGCGUUCUAAGGGCAGUGAAGGUCGAUCGUGAGGACGGCUGGAGCGCUUAGAAGUGAACUGCCGGUAUGAGUAGCGAAAAAAGAGUGAG
rnacentral:rRNA from 1 species